rnacentral:rRNA from 1 species
UAGGGAAUCUUCCGCAAUGGACGCAAGUCUGACGGAGCAACGCCGCGUGAGUGAAGAAGGAUUUCGGUUCGUAAAACUCUGUUGUUAGAGAAGAACAGCGCAUAGAGUAACUGUUAUGCGUGUGACGGUAUCUAACCAGAAAGCCACGGCUAACUACGUGCCAGCAGCCGCGGUAAUACGUAGGUGGCAAGCGUUGUCCGGAUUUAUUGGGCGUAAAGCGAGCGCAGGCGGUCAAUUAAGUCUGAUGUGAAAGCCCCCGGCUCAACCGGGGAGGGGCAUUGGAAACUGGUUGACUUGAGUGCAGAAGAGGAGAGUGGAAUUCCAUGUGUAGCGGUGAAAUGCGUAGAUAUAUGGAGGAACACCAGUGGCGAAGGCGACUCUCUGGUCUGUAACUCACCCUGAGGCUCCAAAGUGUGGUGAGCAAAUAGG